GAUGAACGCUGGCGGCGUGCCUAAUACAUGCAAGUCGAGCGAACAGAUAAGGAGAUUGCUCCUUUGACGUUAGCGGCGGACGGGUGAGUAACACGUGGGUAACCUACCUAUAAGACUGGGAUAACUUCGGGAAACCGGAGCUAAUACCGGAUAACAUUUGGAACCGCAUGGUUCUAAAGUGAAAGAUGGUUUUGCUAUCACUGAUAGAUGGACCCGCGCCGUAUUAGCUAGUUGGUAAGGUAACGGCUUACCAAGGCAACGAUACGUAGCCGACCUGAGAGGGUGAUCGGCCACACUGGAACUGAGACACGGUCCAGACUCCUACGGGAGGCAGCAGUAGGGAAUCUGCGACAAUGGGCGAAAGCCUGACGGAACAACGCCGCGUGGGUGAUGAAGGGUUUCGGCUCGUAAAACUCUGUUAUUAGGGAAGAACAAACGUGUAAGUAAAUGUGCAGGUCUUGACGGUACCUAAUCAGAAAGCCACGGCUAACUACGUG
rnacentral:rRNA from 1 species